CACAGAUGGCACUCAUUUCUCCGGCUAGGCUAUUGGGGUUUAAGCAGCUCUGCCAUGGGGUUCAGUAAGUCCUCCCCUUACUAAUCCCUUCUAUGACAUUCUGAGUUUUUAACUUAUUUGACCAAGUUUCUAUCUGUUGCAACCAUAGUGACUUGGCUGAGACAGUUGCUGUGAGGAGGAUUUACUGAGGGGAACGAUGCCCUGUGCUGUAGGACACUCUGAAUAGAAUGGGUCUGGGCAUCAUCGUCAGUUAUACUGAAGGGACCUACUGCUACGGGAGAUUUGUCACUUGGUCUCUGGUUCCUUCCUUCUCGUAACUGAAACUUCAGUUACCCUUUGGGAAAUUACAUCUAUCAUUUUCAGUCUUUGGAAACUAUUCACAAAAGCUCCCACAACCAAAACAUAAAGAACAGGCAUGGUUUCCUCUGGAGUAUCACGCAAACGAAGUUAGGCGAGGGCUAGUGAGACUAAAUAUGUUGUCGAAACUGUGCCUCUCUCUGGUAUUCAGCUGCAAGCUACAGUCAACCCCACUUCAGAUAGGGUAGUCAACUCUGGUAGUUUCGUGGCAGCGCAUAAUCCAGAAAUAAGCAGCUGCGAGCUUUGGUUCAGUUGCUCAACACUGUUUGGACUGCUGUAUGGGUGAUAUUCUUGGUCUUCCCCUCACAAACACAGAGUCCCUACAGACCUUCCUGCACUGCACCCAAGGUCAAGGCAGAGAGAGAUGAGUUUCAGUUUUCCUUACUAGGACAUUAAAAUCUCUUUUAAAACUCCCAACUGUCUUCGUCCUUGUAUAUUCUAGUUGGGUCUGCAUCUCGUGACCCUGUGAGCUGCAAGGGGAACAGGAAGGCCAGAAUUUACUUUCUGCAGUUCCUGGUGAAGGAAGCAGACUGUGAUUGCACUUACGGGGACACCAGGAAGCAGCUUUGGCUCUCCACCAGCUGCACCAGAGGGGACAAUUAGAUCCCAGUCCAGGGCUCCGCGCCUUCCAGAUGUAACUCUCAAGCUUUCAGCUCUGUUAAGGUUUCCACACAGGCUUGGCUUCAGGCUAUUUGGUCUUCAGCUGGUACUAUUUUUGGAGUUUCUGGGAACCGUGGGACGUGGAGCCGCGCUGGAGGAAGCCGACCAAGAAUAGCGUGGUCCCUAGAUUAUGGCACAAACAACCUCCAGAGAGAGCCAGCCUGCUGCCAGGAAGAGGGACUUGAAGAUCAGAGGCCAGGAAGGCAGCAAUGGCCUUGCCAUGGUAGGACACAGAAUCCCUUUUUUAAAAAGGUUCUUGGGCUGGGGAUUUAGCUCAGUGGUAGAGCGCUUGCCUAGCAAGCGCAAGGCCCUGGGUUCGAUCCCCAGCUCCGAAAAAAAAAGAAUAGAAAAAAAAAAAAUAAAAAGGUUCUUGAUGUCACAGAUGAAAGAAUUUUAAAAACAAGAUACAGAGGGGAACUUGAUGGCAAUUUAUUGGAGUUAGAAAGAAAAAACAAUGGGUCAUGCAGCUGUUGGGGGAGGAAGACGAGGAGUGGGGAGGGAAAGGUAUCCCCAAGUCACAAGCCAGAAUGCACCCAUCUUCACCAGUGACCAUCUGCAAGCAAGUCGGUGUGGGGCAGCUGGAGGAUAUAAAUAUUUCACUAAUGGGAGAGCUGCUCUUGGGCAUCCUAAUUUAUCUCUCACCAUUUAGCUUAAUUUCCUCUUGGUCGAGUAACAAAAUAGCCUUUGCUCUUUGAUUCAGGAGAUGAGGGAGGGGCUCUUACCUAUUUUACAAACAACACACUUUACAGUGCUAUUGAAAUGGUUCAUACAUCCAGAGCAUUCACUGUUUCCGGGCACCCAAAUCUUCCUCUGACCUCUGUGGGCUUCUGAGUGCACACAAAGCACAUACAUGCACUCAUGCAUACACGUAAAAUAAAAUAUAAAAAGGAAAGAAAGAAAACCGGUUUACAAGUCAAGCAACAUGCUAGGUGUGGUGGUGCUUGUCUCCAAUGCCACCAGGUAAGAGAGACAAGAGGAUUGCUGUAAUUUUGUGGCCAACGUACUCCACAUAAGAAGUUCUAGUCCAGUUUGGGCUACCUUAUCUCAAAGAAACAAAAGCAAACAACCGGCCUCUCCCUCAAGUCAAACUACUUUCCCAAGACCAGCAGUUUGGAUAUCAGACUCUAUCCUUUGCUGCCCCACCCCAUGUAUUUAGCACAUACAAGUAUGCACACGGCAUUCCCUCAAGGAGCUGAGCCUGAACUUUCCUGACCCCCACCCCUCCCUGUUCAUUCCUGCAGGUGAUCAUUACAAGAGUAAGUCGCCGGAAAGGAAAUUGACCUCCUUAGUUAUUGGCUAAUAUUUCAUAAAAAUGAGCUGUACAUGUCACUUGGACAGAACAUCCAGUUCUCAGGAAUGGGUGUGGUGUUUGAGGCGGACUCUGUGAUGAUUUCCUUUUGAUGUUUUACAGCCUGUCAGCUCCUGAUAACUUAUGUGGUCUGAAGAGAAUUAAACUGCAUUUCAUUAAAAAACAAAAACAAAAACCAGUUGUUUGCUUCAGGGUCAUUACAAAUCCAGACUGCUUUCCCGUUUCCAGCAUAUCCCAUUACCAGAAAGAUUUCCUCUUCUUCCUCUUUAGAGGAUGAAGUCAGCCACUCAUUUUUUCCCCCAGUUUCUAAAUAAUGAGGCAGGUUUUCUAGGACAAAGGACCUGGUUGUUAGGACAUGUUUUCCACUCCCUGAUAAAAGGAGAAGGCUGAAUUUCUCCAUGUGCAGUAUUAUUAUGUGAGAGCAGUAGAAAUAAAAUUGAAG
ensembl:lncRNA